rnacentral:lncRNA from 1 species
UAGAAUUCCACAGCAUCAAAAUUUGAAUAGAUGCCAAGGGUUCUCUCCUUUUAUUCAUGUGGAAAAAGAAAAUUCCUUUGAAAAUCAUUUGAGGCUUGGACAAAAAUUCCACAACUCUGUUCCUCAGGAUCAUCCUGUAAUCUUCAGGAUUCAGGUGAUACCAGGGAGGCUUCCGUUCAGCUUUUCAGAGAGGACAUUCCACCCCGCAGGAUCUUGUUGACCAAGAGUAUAUUUGUGGCAGUCGGAGUGACGAAGCAGCUGUUUCUUCACAACAGUUAUCCCACAUGCCUACUUCUGCAGCUACGCCUGGCUCACCUGUGCUCAUGGGCCACACCCACAAAUUCACCUGACUCUGUAUGCUCUACUUGAAUUUUAUCUGUUUCCUGAAGGUCAAAGCUGGAGUUCUGAGCAAGGACCUCGGGAAUAAUGAGCAACUGACCAAACAUGUGGACUCCGAGCUGGGCCUGGCCUUUGACUCUCUCCUUGUGUUUAAUCAGCGCUUGUUCCAUCGCCCUUUCUACCGCACCAGCACCGGUAACCAAUGGGGGAACUGAGACACAUGGUGGUGAAGUUCAUAGAGGGCUGUCCUCAGAAUCCUGCAUCCCAGCCUUGCCCCCGUCCCGUUUCAGUAUAACAGGUCAUGGAGUUAUUUUGAAAACAUUUUUUCCACUGCUAGAGAUGUUUAAAGCAUUUCCAGGGGGCCACUACCCCUAGUUUCACCACCCAGAGGAAGCUCUCUUGAACACGUCGACUGUGACUAUUUUCAUUGUGCAGACUAAAGCACAGUGCAUACUAUGUUUUAGAAAUUUGAAGUAUAUUGGUUAUACACCUAAUUCAAUAAGCAUGUAUCUAACAAAUCAAUUCUAUGUCUUUAUUGAAUCUCAAAAGGUAUAUUGUAUAAUACGCUUGAUUAGUACCUGGAGAACUUUUGUAUUAAAAUUAUCAAUAGUUAUUGAUUGGACCAGGAAAGACUAUGGAAUUCUAGAAUGGCAAAUUUGUAUUAAGUAGAAAUGAAACAUUGUAUAGAGUCAUAGAAAAAUUUUCAACCUCUGGAGGGGACUUUUUCAAUCAUCAGUAUAUUUUGUAGUUUGGAAGGCAUACUGCAUGCGGAUGAAAAAAUCAAUACUAAAUGCAUUUUAUUUAAAUUAAAAAAUAUGCAUCAUAUCCAAAUGCAACAGCUCAAUGGUUACACUAGGACAAUCUAAAAGUUGUUAAUUCCACAGCAUGAGGUCCUGUAUAUGCAAAAUGAGAUGAAAUCUACUGUGUGCCAGUGCUACAGAUUGCUGGCUGCUUUUGCCUUCUGAUACAUGCAAAAGCUCAGUAAAAUGUGCUAUGUGAGAAAAAAACAGUGGGUUUAUAUUAUUAUUUCUAGUUGAACAAGCCGCA